AACAGUUUGGAGAGAAAUAGAUGCAAGUCCCAAACCUAGCAGAACAUCAGUUCAUAAUAUUCUUAGGAAUAUGCGAAACGGCAUAUAAUGAAAGGAUAAGUAAAAACAACGGCAUUUUAUCUUAUCAUUGAUUAUCGUAUAAGGGAUCAUAUAAUAAAAUGUACGGAAGAAGAAGUAUUUAGAGUAUUAGGGACUAAGAGGGAGCUAGAUGCAACAAAACUAGACGCAUUUAUUGCAAAAAAUUUAGAUGUCUCAUAUUUGUGGAAUAAAAUUUGGAGA